AGUGAACGCUGGCGGUAGGCCUAACACAUGCAAGUCGAACGGCAGCACAGUAAGAGCUUGCUCUUACGGGUGGCGAGUGGCGGACGGGUGAGGAAUACAUCGGAAUCUACUUUUUCGUGGGGGAUAACGUAGGGAAACUUACGCUAAUACCGCAUACGACCUACGGGUGAAAGCAGGGGAUCUUCGGACCUUGCGCGAUUGAAUGAGCCGAUGUCGGAUUAGCUAGUUGGCGGGGUAAAGGCCCACCAAGGCGACGAUCCGUAGCUGGUCUGCGAGGAUGAUCAGCCACACUGGAACUGAGACACGGUCCAGACUCCUACGGGAGGCAGCAGUGGGGAAUAUUGGACAAUGGGCGAAAGCCUGAUCCAGCCAUACCGCGUGGGUGAAGAAGGCCUUCGGGUUGUAAAGCCCUUUUGUUGGGAAAGAAAAGCAGCAGGUUAAUACCCCGCUGUUCUGACGGUACCCAAGGAAUAAGCACCGGCUAACUUCGUG
rnacentral:rRNA from 1 species